UACGGAGGGGGCUAGCGUUGUUCGGAAUUACUGGGCGUAAAGCGCACGUAGGCGGCUUUGUAAGUCAGGGGUGAAAGCCUGGAGCUCAACUCCAGAACUGCCUUUGAGACUGCAUCGCUUGAAUCCGGGAGAGGUAAGUGGAAUUCCGCGUGUAGAGGUGAAAUUCGUAGAUAUUCGGAAGAACACCAGUGGCGAAGGCGGCUUACUGGACCGGGAUUGACGCUGAGGUGCGAAAGCGUGGGGAGCAAACAGG
rnacentral:rRNA from 1 species